rnacentral:rRNA from 1 species
GACGGAGGAUGCAAGCGUUAUCCGGAAUGAUUGGGCGUAAAGCGUCCGCAGGUGGCAGUUCAAGUCUGCUGUCAAAGACCGGGGCUUAACUUCGGAAAGGCAGUGGAAACUGAACAGCUAGAGUAUGGUAGGGGCAGAGGGAAUUCCUGGUGUAGCGGUGAAAUGCGUAGAGAUCAGGAAGAACAUCGGUGGCGAAGGCGCUCUGCUGGACCAUGACUGACACUCAGGGACGAAAGCUAGGGGAGCGAAUGGG